rnacentral:rRNA from 1 species
GAUGAACGCUGGCGGCGUGCCUAAUACAUGCAAGUCGAGCGAACAGACGAGGAGCUUGCUCCUCUGACGUUAGCGGCGGACGGGUGAGUAACACGUGGAUAACCUACCUAUAAGACUGGGAUAACUUCGGGAAACCGGAGCUAAUACCGGAUAAUAUAUUGAACCGCAUGGUUCAAUAGUGAAAGACGGUGUUGCUGUCACUUAUAGAUGGAUCCGCGCCGCAUUAGCUAGUUGGUAAGGUAACGGCUUACCAAGGCAACGAUGCGUAGCCGACCUGAGAGGGUGAUCGGCCACACUGGAACGGAGACACGGUCCAGACUCCUACGGGAGGCAGCAGUAGGGAAUCGUCCGCAAUGGGCGAAAGCCUGACGGAGCAACGCCGCGUGAGUGAUGAAGGUCUUCGGAUCGUAAAACUCUGUUAUUAGGGAAGAACAGAUGUGUAAGUAACUAUGCACGUCUUGACGGUACCUAAUCAGAAAGCCACGGCUAACUACGUG